AACAAUUUCUGUAAACGUUAUGCUGUUUGAGUCUGAACUCUUGUAAAGGCAGAAGAGUCUGGGCAAAUAAUGAAAAAUUGAUUUGUUUCUGGAAAAGCUUUGCGUUGUGUGUGAGAGCUAUGGAGGAAAGACAUCAUUAUGGAGGAAUCCUAAUUGUAAAUUGAACCACAUAAUUUUCUCCAUCCCCAAAUUAGCAGUGUAAGGUAAGAGAGAUUGGAUUUCA
rnacentral:lncRNA from 1 species